rnacentral:rRNA from 1 species
GUGUCAGCAGCCGCGGUAAUACGGAGGGUGCAAGCGUUAAUCGGAAUUACUGGGCGUAAAGGGCGCGUAGGCGGCGUGUCACGCCGGGUGUGAAAGCCCCGGGCUCAACCUGGGAAUGGCAUCCGGAACGGGCAGGCUAGAGUGCAGGAGAGGAAGGUAGAAUUCCCGGUGUAGCGGUGAAAUGCGUAGAGAUCGGGAGGAAUACCAGUGGCGAAGGCGGCCUUCUGGACUGACACUGACGCUGAGGUGCGAAAGCGUGGGUAGCAAACAGGAUUAGAAACCCCCGUAGUCC